rnacentral:rRNA from 1 species
GGGCAAGUCUGGUGCCAGCAGCCGCGGUAAUUCCAGCUCCAAUAGCGUAUAUUAAAGUUGUUGUGGUUAAAAAGCUCGUAGUUGAACCUUGGGCCUGGCUGGCCGGUCCGCCUCACCGCGUGUACUGGUCCGGCCGGGCCUUUCCCUCUGUGGAACCCUAUGCCCUUCACUGGGUGUAGCGGGGAAACAGGACUUUUACUUUGAAAAAAUUAGAGUGCUCCAGGCAGGCCUUUGCUCGAAUACAUUAGCAUGGAAUAAUAAAAUAGGACGUGUGGUUCUAUUUUGUUGGUUUCUAGGACCGCCGUAAUGAUUAAUAGGGACAGUCGGGGGCAUUAGUAUUCGAUUGUCAGAGGUGAAAUUCUUGGAUUUAUUGAAGACUAACUACUGCGAAAGCAUUUGCCAAGGAUGUUUUCAUUAAUCAGGAACGAAAGUUAGGGGAUCGAAGACGAUCAGAUACCGUCGUAGUCUUAACCAUAAACUAUGCCGACUAGGGAUCGGACGGUGUUAUUUUUUGACCCGUUUGGCACCUUACGGGAAAC